rnacentral:rRNA from 1 species
AACGGCCUACGGGGCGCAGCAGUGGGGAAUAUUGCACAAUGGGGGGAACCCUGAUGCAGCGACGCCGCGUGGGUGAAGGAGCACCUCGGUGCGUAAAGCCCUAUCGGCAGGGAAGAAAAGCGAACAGGUUCGCCUGGACGGUACCUGACUAAGAAGCCACGGCUAACUACGUGCCAGCAGCCGCGGUAAUACGUAGGGGGCAAGCGUUAUCCGGAUUUACUGGGUGUAAAGGGCGUGUAGGCGGGAAAGCAAGACAGAUGUGAAAAACAUGGGCUCAACCUGUGGCC